rnacentral:rRNA from 1 species
GAUGAACGCUGGCGGCGUGCCUAAUACAUGCAAGUCGAGCGAACGGACGAGAAGCUUGCUUCUCUGAUGUUAGCGGCGGACGGGUGAGUAACACGUGGAUAACCUACCUAUAAGACUGGGAUAACUUCGGGAAACCGGAGCUAAUAUCGGAUAAUAUUUUGAACCGCAUGGUUCAAAAGUGAAAGACGGUCUUGCUGUCACUUAUAGAUGGAUCCGCGCUGCGUUAGCUAGUUGGUGAGGUAACGGCUUACCAAGGCAACGAUGCAGAGCCGACCUGGGGGGGGGAGCGGCGACACGGGAACUGAGGCACGGUCCAGACUCCUACGGGAGGCAGCAGUAGGGAAUCUUCCGCAAUGGGCGAAAGCCUGACGAAGCAACGCCGCGUGAGUGAUGAAGGUCUUCGGAUCGUAAAACUCUGUUAUUAGCGAAGAACAUAUGUGUAAGUAACUGUGCACAUCUUGACGGUACCUAAUCAGAAAGCCACGGCUAACUACGUG